CGCACUGACCUGUCCGCCAUCCACCUCCAGACCCGCGGCCGGGCAAUGUGCCAGCUCCGCCUGUGCCGCGCUCGUCAGUGGUGUCCAGCGACAGGACGAAUGGCAAUGGUCAUAAACUGAAGCACAAGUUUCACCUCAGCCUGAGGGAGAACUUCUUUACAUUGAGGGGGGCACAGCACUGGAAGAGCUGCCCAGGGAGGGUGUGGCGUCUCCCUCUCUGAAGACACUCCGAACCCACCUGGACGCGCUCCCGUGUCACCUGCUCCAGGUGACCGUGCCUCCCAGCGCGAACAGCUCUGUGACUCAGUGACUGUGUCCAGACGUGGGCACUGAGGAGCGCAGGCCGCGGCCCCGGCCCCAGCUCCCCUCGAGAGCCCCUGGAGCAGCAGCUGCCACAGCGAUGUUGCUGGACGCUCGCAUCCCGCUGUGGCACUCGUUAAGGGUUCUUAUGUCCAACAAACCCACGUCACAUCACUACAGGAAGAAUUCCUUGUAAGAACAGGAUCAAACGAAGUGUCAAGGAUAUCAUUGUCCAUACACUCCUACUAAAAGCCACAGCAGCUGCUGCUCCUGUCCUGCAGAGAUGGCCUGAAGAGGAGUGUGGGCUCAGCUGGAAUGAGCCCCUGCAUCCCCAAGGAUGAGAGACAGUAAACAGCGGGAAGCCUUUGGGUGCAUCUGUGUUAGAAGAGUACCAGGCUUGGAUUGCUCUCUUACUCUACUGUAUCCAGCACGGUUUGCACUGCAGGUAUUAAAUCUGGUCAGAAGCAAUUAAAUUUCUUCUUAAAACACUUAACUUUUUUGAAACAAUUCACCUAUCAAAACAUCUGUCUAAAUUUUCCUUUGUAUAAGAGAGAAAUAUGACAACCUUAUAUGUUAGUUCUUGUCACAGGUCAAACUUAUUAAAAUAUGCAUACUUGAUUGUAUCUAUCUUAUUACAAGAAAUAUUAUGUUA